UACGUAGGGACCAAGCGUUGUUCGGAUUUACUGGGCGUAAAGGGCGCGUAGGCGGCGUGGUAAGUCACUUGUGAAAUCUCUGAGCUUAACUCAGAACGGCCAAGUGAUACUGCUGUGCUCGAGUGUGGAAGGGGCAAUCGGAAUUCUUGGUGUAGCGGUGAAAUGCGUAGAUAUCAAGAGGAACACCUGAGGUGAAGACGGGUUGCUGGGCCAACACGUGACGCUGAGGCGCGAAAGCCAGGGGAGCAAACGGGG
rnacentral:rRNA from 1 species